CUUUUCUCUGCUACGUGGGUUUUUCUGGCUCCUUCUGCGGCUCGGAGUCACUUAAGCUGUGAAGGGUCCCGGGACUUAGUCCCACGACAGACGGAAGCGUUUCGGCUCCCCGAUGAGCGCUCGAGCCCUGCAUUAGGAGAGGCCCUGCUGACUCUUGACCCAAGGGACGCCCUCGGUCUCAGGCUUCCGCUCUGGCUGUCUAAAGACUCUGCAGAGCGAGCCUUGUUCCUUCCAGGGAAUAGCCCCGGACCUAAUGCUGUUCCUUUGACAGUUUUCUGUGUUAAACUCAGCAGCCUGUGAGGUGUUUACUGAAUAAGCAAAGGCAUAUCCUGUCCAUGUGGAGAAAAACCAGGAAAUGCUCCAAUUGAAGCCCAGUUCUGAACAAUUUCAUUGUUGGGACUGAUAACUGGAUCCUCAUGCUAAUGUCAGGGCUCAGUCCCUAGUUGAAAUUCUGAAGAGUGAGGACCAGAAAAUUCUUGCAAAAAAUGGGACAGUGAGCAAAGGAAGAAGAAAAGAGGUAACUGCUGUCUCAGUCGGAUCAGCUUACUCACCUUGAUCAGGGGAAAUGGCUGCUGCAACAGAAGAGGGCUAAAUGAAAGAAGCCAUUUUAAACAUUAUUUUUGUUGGAAUUACAACUAUGAGCCAUUCGUUCAGUCUCUGCUCGCAAGAACUCAAGAUGAAGUUGGUUGUAUUCUGGAGCUUCUGUGAAAUUAAAAUAGUUAAUGAGGAGAUCAUUUUCAUUUGUAACUUCCAAUUGUCUAUGACCAUGAGUGACUCUCAAGGGCCCAGACAAAGGAGCAGCUCAGAGUUGCUGGGGAAGAGGGCUCGUGUUCACCAAGGGAAGGCUAGCCAGAAAGCUUUUGAAGGCCUAUCAGCCCAUCACCUCUGCAGAGAAGCUGUCCUUCCCAGCCUCACGUAUGGUGCCUUGUUUGCUGUGAAAUGCAGACAUGUGUGUGCAGGCGAGGCUCUGUUUUGGAGACAUUCCAGGGCAGUAACUGCAGAUCACAACCCUCUACCUGAAUCCAAGACAGACCAGGACAAUGAGGGCCUGGAACAUUGUAAAUGAUUCUUGAACAUUUAACAUUGAAUGAUAUAAAAAAAUGAACAUUGAGGAUGAAUUUUGUCAUGGGCUGGGAGUACUGGUCGUGAUCAUCAUCGGAAAGAAUCUCAGAUAUGUGAUGCUGGUAAUCUCUGCUGGUAAAUAUGUAUUGACAGUAAAUCUUUUCUUCUAAUGACAAAAAAAGCUUGGGGAAAUCUCUGUCCCAGAAACAUAUUUAUGUUCUAUCUUUAUUUCUUGUCAGCCUAUCUGGAGUAAAUGAUUUGCUGCUCAGAGAUGAGGGCUAAAUGAAAUUACUGGAGGUGGGAGCUGUCCUGCUUAUUGGGCAACCUCCGACUCUGGCUCUCAAGGGGAAUUGGCUACCUAAACUAGUGCCUUCCAUUGACCAGGCCAACAUAAACAUGACUGGGAACAGGGCAGUGUUUUUAUGAUCCUCAGUCCCUGGAGACCCUUGUUCACUGGGAAAGAUACUCUCACUUCGUGACUACUUGUCUGAGACCCAGAGGCCUCUCACAGCAGGGACUGCCUGGGACUACCUCUGUGAGUUGACUCACCUCACCAAGUACCCAGAGGGCCUCCUCCUUGAAGCUCUUCCAGAUCAAUGGGAGCCACAAGGCAAACACUCUCCCAGAACUGUGUCCUAUGUGAACAAGGAAUGGCCAUAACACCCCCUUUUUAGUUUGUCACCUACUAGAAUGAAAUCACAUUUUACUGAGAUAGCUUUGAAAACUAUGGCCUUCUGUUGUUUUUCCUCCUUUUGUGCAGAAGAUCAGUCAUUUCCAUCCCAUGUGAAUUCCAGUUGAAUCCUACUUCCCCCAUUUACCACACUUAGUCCUAAUGUAGGUGAGAGAGAAAGACAGACCCAGUUCUUAGACUCCAGGCUUCCAAGUUGAUGUGACUAGAUGAAUAUUUAAGACAAAUCUGUAGCUUAUUUGCCAUGGUCAGAAACUCACAUCUCUAUCCCCUCAAUAUCACUAUGAGGCAGGGAUUAUCGCCUGCUAUCCCCUCCAUGGUAAUAAUGAGUAUUUAUUGAGUUUGUACCAUGUACUAAAAAUUCUGUGCUAAGCAUUAUGUGUGGAUUAUUGUAUAUAAUUCUCACAAAACCCUGAGGGGCAAACAAUGUUAUCAUCCAUCCCUAAUAAACACAUGAGGUAAACAAGCCUCACAGAGGGUGAAUUGAUUGUUUGCUAUUUCUGUUGGAUUGAGCUUCCUUUUAGAGAGUUUGUGAACAUUUUUUUGGGGGGAAAAUCCCCAUUUUUGAGAGUAGUUUUGGGUUUUAGAAGAUCCUUAAUUGCAGAAUCAGGGGUAGGAGAGCAAGUUGAUAAAUACUGUGUUUGGGCAGAUGGCCAAUGUGGCCUCAGGGAAGGGGCUUGGCUUUCAUGUGUGGCAGAAGGCAGUUUCCAGGAGUUCCUGUGGGGUUCCAGCCUUGAAAACCUUUAGGAUUGUUCGAGGCUUCUCAAUGUUCAGAGCACAUAAUAUUCAGAAUGGAAUGGAAUUUGGAGAUUAUCUAAUUUAAUCACCACAUUUUGUAGAGUUAAUUCAGAGAGAUUAUGUUUAUUAGACAGGUCACCCACCUAGAGGCAGAAUAGGAACUAUAGCUCAGAGCUCAUAAAUCCCAUCCUAGGGCUCUUUCCUUCCCUUAAAUUUGGGUACUUUUAUA